AUAAGCGCUUGAGAGAGCGUGAUUUUGGAGUUUGGUCUGGGAAACUUUGGUCAGAAUAUAUUGAUGCCAGCAAAGAUAUGAAAGAUGGUAUUUUUCUGCAUGAUUUGCCUGGAGUUGAAUCCAAUGAAGAAAUGAACAUAAGGCUAAAAGACUUCUUGGCUGAUCUAGUGAAUAUGCAUGAAAAGAGUCCCUAUAAUGAGAAUGUUCUCAUUGUAUCUCAUAAAGGAACGAUAAGAGCACUUGUUUGUCUUCUACUUGAAAACUCCAGUUAUGAUGCUCAUAAUGUACAAUCAACUAAUUGUCCAAUAGGCUACAAUUGUGUGUCACAUUUUGAAUUAGAAAUAAGUGAUAAAACAAUACAAAACUGUAAAGUAUUGAAGCUUUUCGACUGCAGUCAUUUGAUCUGAGAUUGACUUCUUUCCAUAUUUUUUGUGUUGUUAUGUUUCUAGCUUAAUACUAUUUAUACACGUUUUAUCGUCACAAUAAAUUAUUUUUAGAGCAAUUAUUGAACAAUGUUUGUAACCUUCCUGCAA